rnacentral:tRNA from 1 species
GCGCCCAUCGUCUAGCGGUUAGGACAUCGCCCUCUCACGGCGAAAACACGGGUUCGAUUCCCGUUGGGCGUACCA